AAGUCGUAACAAGGUUUCCGUAGGUGAACCUGCGGAAGGAUCAUUAUUGAAUGAACUUGGGGUUGGUUGUCGCUGGCUGUCUUUGGCAGCAUGUGCACGCCUUCUCCUUUCAUCCACACACCCCUGUGCACCUGUGAGACUGGAGGCCGUAAAAAGCUUUCAGUCUGCUAAAUUCAUAUACAAACUCAUUUAAUUGAACUGAAUGUACUUGAUGUAACGCAUCAUUAAACUAAGUUUCAACAACGGAUCUCUUGGCUCUC
rnacentral:misc_RNA from 1 species